CCUUGGGGAGCUCCUUCCUUUCUUGCUCCCCGGCCAUCUUGGCGGCUGGUGUUGGUUGGGGGUUGUCCCGCACCUAAGGCAGGAAGAUGGUGGCCGCAAAGAAGACGAAAAAGUCUCUGGAGUCGAUCAACUCUAGGCUCCAACUUGUUAUGAAAAGUGGGAAGUACGUGCUGGGCUACAAACAGACUCUGAAGAUGAUCAGACAAGGCAAAGCGAAGUUGGUUAUCCUUGCCAACAACUGUCCAGCUUUGAGGAAAUCUGAAAUAGAGUACUAUGCCAUGUUGGCUAAAACUGGGGUCCAUCACUACAGUGGCAAUAAUAUUGAACUGGGCACAGCGUGUGGAAAAUACUACAGAGUAUGCACACUGGCUAUCAUUGACCCAGGUGAUUCUGAUAUUAUUAGAAGCAUGCCAGAACAGACUGGUGAGAAGUAAACAAGAAAGUUUUCCUUUAAUAAAACUUUGCCAGAGCUCCUUUUGAAAAAAAAAAAAAGAAAUUAAGACCUUAAAAAAAAAAAAAAAGAA